rnacentral:rRNA from 1 species
CACGUAGGGUGCGAGCGUUGUCCGGAAUUAUUGGGCGUAAAGAGCUCGUAGGCGGUGUGUCGCGUCGGCCGUGAAAACCUGCAGCUUAACUGUGGGCUUGCGGUCGAUACGGGCAUCACUGGAGUUCGGCAGGGGAGACUGGAAUUCCUGGUGUAGCGGUGAAAUGCGCAGAUAUCAGGAGGAACACCGGUGGCGAAGGCGGGUCUCUGGGCAAUUCCUGACGCUGAGGCGCGAAAGCGUGGGGAGCAAACGGG